GAAAUGCGAUACUUGGUGUGAAUUGCAGAAUUCAGUGAAUCAUCGAAUCUUUGAACGCACAUUGCGCCCCUUGGUAUUCCAUGGGGCAUGCCUGUUCGAGCGUCAUUUGUACCCUCAAGCUCUGCUUGGUGUUGGGUGUUUGUCCCGCCUUGCGCGUGGACUCGCCUUAAAGCAAUUGGCAGCCGGCAUAUUGGCCUGGAGCGCAGCACAUUUUGCGCCUCUUGUCAUGAAUGUUGGCAUCCAUCAAGACUAUAUUUUUGCUCUUGACCUCGGAUCAGGUAGGGAUACCCGCUGAACUUAA
rnacentral:misc_RNA from 1 species